AACAGAUUUACUUCGGUAAUGACGUUAGGAAAGCGAGCGGCGGAUGGGUGAGUAACACGUGGGGAACCUGCCCCAUAGUCUGGGAUACCACUUGGAAACAGGUGCUAAUACAGGAUAAGAAAGCAGAUCGCAUGAUCAGCUUUUAAAAGGCGGCGUAAGCUGUCGCUAUGGGAUGGCCCCGCGGUGCAUUAGCUAGUUGGUAAGGUAAAGGCUUACCAAGGCGAUGAUGCAUAGCCGAGUUGAGAGACUGAUCGGCCACAUUGGGACUGAGACACGGCCCAAACUCCUACGGGAGGCAGCAGUAGGGAAUCUUCCACAAUGGACGCAAGUCUGAUGGAGCAACGCCGCGUGAGUGAAGAAGGUUUUCGGAUCGUAAAGCUCUGUUGUUGGUGAA
rnacentral:rRNA from 1 species